rnacentral:rRNA from 1 species
AGGACGAACGCUGGCGGCGUGCUUAACACAUGCAAGUCGAGCGAGGCCCUCUCUUCGGAGAGGUGCCCUAGCGGCGAACGGGUGAGUAACACGUGGGCAACCUGCCCCUAGCACUGGGAUAAGCCCGGGAAACCGGGUCUAAUACCGGAUAUGACCUUCAAGGGCAUCCUCGAAGGUGUAAAGGAUUCUGGCUAGGGAUGGGCCCGCGGCCUAUCAGCUUGUUGGUGGGGUAAUGGCCCACCAAGGCAACGACGGGUAGCCGGCCUGAGAGGGCGACCGGCCACACUGGGACUGAGACACGGCCCAGACUCCUACGGGAGGCAGCAGUGGGGAAUAUUGCACAAUGGGCGAAAGCCUGAUGCAGCGACGCCGCGUGAGGGAUGACGGCCUCGGUUGUAACUCUUCAGCUCCGACGAGCGAAGUGACGGUAGGAGCAGAAGAAGCACCGGCCAACUACGUGCCAGCAGCCGC